GAAUUGACGGGGGCCCGCACAAGCGGUGGAGCAUGUGGUUUAAUUCGAUGCAACGCGAAGAACCUUACCUACCCUUGACAUCCAGGGAAAAGCUUGUAAUGAGCUUAAUGCCUUCGGGAACCCUGUGACAGGUGCUGCAUGGCUGUCGUCAGCUCGUGUUGUGAAAUGUUGGGUUAAGUCCCGUAACGAGCGCAACCCUUGUCCUUAGUUGCCAGCAUUUGGUUGGGCACUCUAGAGGGAC
rnacentral:rRNA from 15 species